GGUUCGAUCAUGGCUCAGAUUGAACGCUGGCCGGAAGGUCUUUACACAUGCAAGUCGAACGGCAGCACGGACUUCGGUCUGGUGGCGAGUGGCGAACGGGUGAGUAAUGUAUCGGAACGUGCCUAGUAGCGGGGGAUAACUGCGCAGCGUAGCUAAUACCGCAUACGCCCUUCGGGAAAGCGGGGACCUUCGGGCCUCGCACUAUUAGAGCGGCCGAUAUCGGAUUAGCUAGUUGGUGGGAGGUAACGGCUCACCAAGGCGACGAUCCGUAGCUGGUUUGAGAGGACGACCUUGUACACUGGGACUGAGACACGGCCCAGACUCCUGGAGGCAGCAGUGGGGAAUUUUGGACAAUGGAAACCUGAUCCAGCCAUCCCGCGUGUGCGAUGAAGGCCUUCGGGUUAUCAGCACUUUUGGCAGGAAAGAAACGGCACGGGAUAAUACCCCGUGCAACUGACGGCUACAGAAUAAGCACCGGCUUCUUCACGGCAGCAGCCGCGGUAAUACGUAGGGUGCAAGCGUUAAUCGGAAUUACUGGGCGUAAAGCGUGCGCAGGCGGUUCGGAAAGAAAGAUGUGAAAUCCCAGAGCUUAACUUUGGAACUGCAUUUUUAACUACCGAGCUAGAGUGUGUCAGAGGGAGGUGGAAUUCCGCGUGUAGCAGUGAAAUGCGUAGAUAUGCGGAGGAACACCGAUAGCGAGCAACCUCCUGGGAUAACACAGCGCUCAUGCACCCAGCGUGGGAGCAAACGGGAUUAGAUACCCUGGUAGUCCACGCCCUAAACGAUGUCAACUAGCUGUUGGGGCCUUCGGGCCUUGGUAGCGCAGCUAACGCGUGAAAGUUGACCGCCUGGGAAGUACGGUCGCAAGAUUAAAACUCAAAGGAAUUGACGGGGACCCGCACAAGCGGUGGAUGAUGUGGAUUAAUUCGAUGCAACGCGAAAAACCUUACCUACCCUUGACAUGUCUGAAUCCAAAUUUGGGAGUGCUCGCAAGAGAACCGGAACACAGGUGCUGCAUGGCUGUCGUCAGCUCGUGUCGUGAGAUGUUGGGUUAAGUCCCGCAACGAGCGCAACCCUUGUCAUUAGUUGCUACGAAAGGGCACUCUAUUAGGACUGCCGGUGACAAACCGGAGGAAGGUGGGGAUGACGUCAAGUCCUCAUGGCUUCCAUAUGGGUAGGGCUUCACACGUCAUACAAUGGUCAGGUUGGGGGUCGCCAACCCGCGAGGGAGCCAAUCAGAAACGAUCGUAGUCCGGAUCGCAGUCUGCAACUCGACUGCGUGAAGUCCGGAAUCGCUAGUAAUCGCGGAUCAGCAUGUCGCGGUGAAUACGUUCCCGGGUCUUGCGCACACCGCCCGUCACACCAUGGGAGUGGGUUUACCAGAAGUAGUUAAGCUGGCGUAAGGAGGGCGAUUACCACGGUAGGAUUCAUGACUGGGGUGAAGUCGUAACAAAGGUAG
rnacentral:rRNA from 1 species